GGACUACCAGGGUAUCUAAUCCUGUUUGCUCCCCACGCUUUCGCGCCUCAGCGUCAGUCAAGGACCAGGUCGCCGCCUUCGCCACCGGUGUUCUUCCCAAUAUCUACGAAUUUCACCUCUACACUGGGAAUUCCACGACCCUCUUCCUCACUCAAGUCCAGAUGUAUCGAGCGCAGCCCCCAGGUUAAGCCCAGGAAUUUCACGCCCGACUGUCCGAACCGCCUACGCGCCCUUUACGCCCAGUCAUUCCGAGCAACGCUAGCCCCCUUCGUAUUACCGCGGCGGCUGGCAC
rnacentral:rRNA from 1 species